GGAAGAUUCCUACCCCCAUCUGCCAGAGGACUCUCGAGACUCGAAGUCGAGAGGAUUUUUUAGACCGGAGACUCCAAGAGAUGAACCGGUGGAUCGAAGAACUCUGCCAUGCUCCCCCCGCUUAUGGUGAGGAUAUUUGCACUGACCCUCCCUUUUCUCAAAUGAUCAUGCAGGAACCGAUCCCGCCAAACUUCAAGCUCCCCC
rnacentral:lncRNA from 1 species